CCUACGGGACGCAGCAGUCGGGAAUAUUGCGCAAUGGAGGAAACUCUGACGCAGUGACGCCGCGUGCAGGAAGAAGGUUUUCGGAUUGUAAACUGCUUUAGACAGGGAAGAUAAUGACAGUACCUGUAGAAUAAGCUCCGGCUAACUACGUGCCAGCAGCCGCGGUAAUACGUAGGGAGCAAGCGUUAUCCGGAUUUAUUGGGUGUAAAGGGUGCGUAGGCGGAUUUUUAAGUCAGCGGUAAAAUGUCCGGGCUCAACCCGGGCCGGCCGUUGAAACUGGGGAUCU
rnacentral:rRNA from 1 species